rnacentral:rRNA from 1 species
UAUGGCUCAGGACGAACGCUGGCGGCGUGCCUAACACAUGCAAGUCGAGCGGGGACAUACGACGGAUAGGAAGUUUCGGAUGGAAUUGAAGAUGUAUUGUUCUAGCGGCGGACGGGUGAGUAACGCGUGAGCAACCUGUCCCUUACAGGGGGAUAACACAGCGAAAGUUGUACUAAUACCGCAUAAGACCACGGGGAGACAUCUUCCAGGGGUCAAAGGAGCAAUCCGGUAAGGGGUGGGCUCGCGUCCGAUUAGAUAGUUGGUGAGGUAACGGCCCACCAAGUCGACGAUCGGUAGCCGACCUGAGAGGGUGAUCGGCCACAUUGGGACUGAGACACGGCCCAAACUCCUACGGGAGGCAGCAGUGGGGAAUAUUGGGCAAUGGGGAAACCCUGACCCAGCAACGCCGCGUGAGGGAAGAAGGUUUUCGGAUCGUAAACCUCUGUCCUUGGUGAAGAGGAAGAGACGGUAGCCAAGGAGGAAGCCCCGGCUAACUACGUGCCAGCAGCUGC